GCCCGCCUAGCUCAAUCGGCCAGAGCGUCAGACUUUUACGAACGGGCAUCUGAAGGCUGCGAGUUCGACCCUCGCGGUGGGCU